GACGAACGCUGGCGGCGUGCCUAAUACAUGCAAGUCGAGCGGACGAAUCGAAAGCUUGCUUUUGAUUCGUUAGCGGCGGACGGGUGAGUAACACGUGGGCAACCUGCCCUGUAGACGGGGAUAACACCGAGAAAUCGGUGCUAAUACCGGAUAACACGAAAUGUCGCAUGACGUUUCGUUGAAAGACGGCGCAAGCUGUCGCUACAGGAUGGGCCCGCGGCGCAUUAGCUAGUUGGUGAGGUAACGGCUCACCAAGGCGACGAUGCGUAGCCGACCUGAGAGGGUGAUCGGCCACACUGGGACUGAGACACGGCCCAGACUCCUACGGGAGGCAGCAGUAGGGAAUCUUCCGCAAUGGACGAAAGUCUGACGGAGCAACGCCGCGUGAGCGAAGAAGGCCUGCGGGUCGUAAAGCUCUGUUGUUAGGGAAGAACAAGUAACGCAGUAACUGGCGUUACCGUGACGGUACCUAACGAGAAAGCCACGGCUAACUACGU
rnacentral:rRNA from 1 species